rnacentral:tRNA from 1 species
GCAGCGGUGACUCCGUGGUAGAAUUCUUGCCUUCCAUGCUGGAGACCUGGGUUAGAUUCCCGGCCAAUGUA